rnacentral:rRNA from 1 species
AGAGUUUGAUCAUGGCUCAGAUUGAACGCUGGCGGUAGGCUUAACACAUGCAAGUCGUGCGAGAAAGUAUCUUCGGAUAUGAGUAGAGCGGCGGACGGGUGAGUAACGCGUAGGAAUCUACCUAGUAGAAGGGGAUAGCCCGGGGAAACUCGGAUUAAUACCGUAUACCUCCUUCGGGAGAAAGAAGGCCUCUCUUUGAAGCUUUCGCUAUUAGAUGAGCCUGCGUAAGUUUAGCUUGUUGGUGAGGUAAAGGCUCACCAAGGCGACGAUCUUUAGCGGGUCUGAGAGGACGAUCCGCCACAUUGGGACUGAGACACGGCCCAGACUCCUACGGGAGGCAGCAGUGGGGAAUAUUGGACAAUGGGCGCAAGCCUGAUCCAGCCAUACCGCGUGUGUGAAGAAGGCCCUAGGGUUGUAAAGCACUUUAAGUUGGGAAGAAAAGUUAUUGGUUAAUACCCAAUAACCGUGACAUUACCAUCAGAAUAAGGACCGGCUAAUUCCGUGCCAGCAGCCGCGGUAAUACGGAAGGUCCAAGCGUUAAUCGGAAUUACUGGGCGUAAAGCGCGCGUAGGUGGUUUAUUAAGUUGGAUGUGAAAUCCCCGGGCUCAACCUGGGAACUGCAUCCAAAACUGAUUCACUAGAGUACGAUAGAGGGAGGUAGAAUUCACAGUGUAGCGGUGGAAUGCGUAGAUAUUGUGAAGAAUACCAAUGGCGAAGGCAGCCUCCUGGAUCUGUACUGACACUGAGGUGCGAAAGCGUGGGUAGCGAACAGGAUUAGAUACCCUGGUAGUCCACGCCGUAAACGAUGUCAACUAGCUGUUGGAAAACUAUGUUUUUCAGUGGCGCAGCUAACGUAGUAAGUUGACCGCCUGGGGAGUACGGCCGCAAGGCUAAAACUCAAAUGAAUUGACGGGGACCCGCACAAGCGGUGGAGCAUGUGGUUUAAUUCGAUGCAACGCGAAAAACCUUACCUAUACUUGACAUACUUGGAAUGCUUUGUAAUGAAGCAGUGCCUUCGGGAGCCAAGAUACAGGUGCUGCAUGGCUGUCGUCAGCUCGUGUCGUGAGAUGUUCCGUUAAGUCGGAUAACGAGCGCAACCCUUACCCUUAUUUGCCAGCGAUUCGGUCGGGAACUAUAAGGGGACUGCCGGUGAUAAACCGGAGGAAGGUGAGGACGACGUCAAGUCAUCAUGGCCCUUACGUAUAGGGCUACACACGUGCUACAAUGGAGAAUACAGACGGACGCUAAGCCGCGAGGUGGUGCUAAUCCUAGAAAAUUCUUCGUAGUCCGGAUUGGAGUCUGCAACUCGACUCCAUGAAGUCGGAAUCGCUAGUAAUCGCGAAUCAGCAUGUCGCGGUGAAUACGUUCUCGGGUCUUGUACACACCGCCCGUCAUACCAUGGAAGUGGAUUGCACCAGAAGUAGAUAGUCUAACCUUCGGGAGGGCGUUUACCACGGUGUGCUUCAUGACUGGGGUAAAGUCGUAACAAGGUAGCCGUA